rnacentral:tRNA from 1 species
GUCCCCAUCGUCUAGCCAGGACCAGGACACCGCCCUUUCACGGCGGCAACACGGGUUCGAAUCCCGUUGGGGACGCCA